rnacentral:rRNA from 1 species
GACGUAGGGUGCGAGCGUUGUCCGGAUUUAUUGGGCGUAAAGAGCUCGUAGGCGGCUUGUCGCGUCGACUGUGAAAUCCCGCGGCUCAACUGCGGGUCUGCAGUCGAUACGGGCAGGCUAGAGUUCGGUAGGGGAGACUGGAAUUCCUGGUGUAGCGGUGAAAUGCGCAGAUAUCAGGAGGAACACCGGUGGCGAAGGCGGUUCUCUGGGCCUGUACUGACGC